rnacentral:lncRNA from 1 species
GUUAUAUCGCUCGGUAUAUAGUAUUGUACCGUACCGAGUGAAUGUCGAAACUCCAGUACGGUACGAUAUUUCAAUCCUUGAUACAAAGCACAAUAAAAAUAUCUUAUUACUUGUUAUGUUCACUAGGCUUCUAGCUAUCCAAUCUGUGAUUAAUGACACCAACAUAAGUGUUUGCUUUCUCCACAUUAGCAAUGACCUCCUUUAUCUCCCGUACUAUUUAUACCAAGUGAUAGAGUAUCUAUGGCCUUUGGCUUUUUCCCCAUAUUUAAAUGACAUAGGCUUAGUUGAAAUUGCUUAAGUCAUCACGUACCCUUUGAUAUCCAUUCACAAAGGGUCAGCCAAAGUGCAAUCUCACAUAGGUCCCUAUGGAGACCUGCAAAGAAGGAAAGUUGAUUGGUUUCGAAGAUGAGUGACAGACAAGUUCCAAUGUCUCUUUCAAAAUCAUAACAUUUAAGCAAUUUAACAAAUAGUUGGAAUGCAAGGAGAAAACAAGGAAUAUGAGAAAAUAUGGAAUUUGAACACUAAAAAGACAUACAAGUCUAGUAAUGGCCACCUAAUCUUGUGCAUGGCAAACCUACACACACUUUGCGUACAAGAUUAUAAUUACAAAUUAGAGUCCAACUUUGUAUGAUAGCCCCAUUCAACCUAGUGUCACCCUAGUGGUUUGAAGGUGCUGAGAUGACUAACGCUUUGGUCAUGCGCUUGAUGAAAUUAGGUUGUGACAUGCAAAAAAUGAGAAAAUGUGAAAAUUUCAGAUUUUAAGGGUUAAAUUAACUAGAAAUAAGUCUUUUGAAGACCCUAAAAAUAAAAAAAAUGGUUAGUUAGGUCUUCAUAAGACAUUUUAAGGUUUUAUGAAACCUUUAGGAAAAAAGUUAAAUUGGUGAAAAGUGAAAAUAAUAAAAAAUUUCAACCUUUUAAGUAAUUAAUUAACUCAAAAUAGAAAAAAUAGAAAAGUGGUCAUUUAAAGCUUCACUUGAAUUUUCAAGGUUUUAUUAAAAUUUUUACUAAAAAACCUUGUACUUUCACCUUUAAUUGAUAAAAAUAAAAUAAAUAAAAAUCUAUAGCUUUUUUAGGCUAAAUUAACUAAAUAUAUGUCCUUUAAUGGCCUAAAAGUUAAAAAAAAUGAUCAAUUAGGGAUUCAUUAGAAUUGAGAUGAGAAUGUUGAGAUUGAUGUGUGGAGUUACGAGGAAAGAUAGGAAAAAAAAUAUUUUUAUUCGUGAAUAAUUUGGUAUUAUUAUAAUAGGGGAUAAAAUGAGAGACAAUUAUUUAAGAUAGUAUGAACAUGUAUUUAGGAGAUCUACGAAUACCAUAGUUAGAAGAAGUGAAAUAAUUAUUGAUAAGAGCCAAAAAAAAUACCUAAAAAGACUUUAAUAUGAGUUAUAAAUAAAGAUAUAAAUACUCUUAAAUAAACAUAUGAAUUUUUUAUAAAUUUUAAUAGCAAUAAAAGAUCCAUAUAGUCGAUCCCAAAUAGUUGGGAGUUACAACUUUAUUGUUAUAGGCAUUAUUAGAUAUUUCCAAGGAUUUAUAAAAAUAUUGAUAUUUUUGGAUAAAAAUAAAUCUAAGUUGCACGGGCAUUUUUCAAAUAGGACCCAAAAACAGUGUAACAACAUUGAAAAAUUGUAAUGCCCCAGCCUAGUAGAAAGUCGACAAUGCUACAGUGCUGCAAUCCUAAUUUAUUUUCACAUAGCAUUUAUUACAUAUUUUAACCCACUGACAAUUCACCCAUUAGACAUUGUUCAAUAAAUUUGACUCCUUCAGAGUAUAUAAUAUUUUAAUCCAAAUAACAUAUAUACAAAAUAAAUCUAAAUGCACAAUCAUACCCCAAAAUUUUGAUUCGUUCUUCUAUCAAUAUAAAAAAAUGAGCUACUUCUCAAAUCUGAAAAAUUAAGAACUAAUCAUAUGCUAUCAAAACUUAUCAUAAAUAAAUAUUUUAUUUUAAAUAUAUAUAUUCUUUAUACAUUUAAUACCUGCAUGGAUAUCAAAUACUUUAUUUAUGCUUAUACAAUUUAUAAUUAAACUUCAUAUGCAUUUUGAAUCAUAACUUGCUAACAUAAUUCAAAGACGAGUGUAGUUAAAGGCGCUAGGUGCUAAAAUGCACCAAGGUGCCAAAACACUAGAGGCACUCGCACGAGCGUAAGCGAGACACUCUUAAAUAUUCAAAAUUUAAAAUCUAUAUAAUUAAGGAGAAAUAUGAUCACUAAAGUAUAAAUUGGAAAUUACAUGAGUUUUAUAUCACUUUAUGUUAUAGAUAUCACCACC